AUACGAGGGGUGCAUGCGUUAAUCGGAAUUACUGGGCGUAAAGCGUUCGUAGGCGGUUUGUUAAGCAAGAUGUGAAAGCCCAGGGCUCAACCUUGGAACUGCAUUUUGAACUGGCAAACUAGAGUACUGUAGAGGGUGGUGGAAUUUCCAGUGUAGCGGUGAAAUGCGUAGAGAUUGGAAGGAACAUCAGUGGCGAAGGCGGCCACCUGGACAGAUACUGACGCUGAGGAACGAAAGCGUGGGGAGCAAACAGGAUUAGAAACCCUAGUAGUCC
rnacentral:rRNA from 1 species